rnacentral:rRNA from 1 species
GAUGAACGCUGGCUACAGGCUUAACACAUGCAAGUCGAGGGGAAACGACGGGGAAGCUUGCUUCCCCGGGCGUCGACCGGCGCACGGGUGAGUAACGCGUAUCCAACCUGCCUCUGACUGAGGGAUAACCCGUCGCAAGUCGGCCUAAUACCUCAUGGCAUCGUCUGCGGGCAUCCAACGACGAUUAAAGAUUUCAUCGGUCAGGGAUGGGGAUGCGUCUGAUUAGCUUGUUGGCGGGGUAACGGCCCACCAAGGCUACGAUCAGUAGGGGUUCUGAGAGGAAGGUCCCCCACAUUGGAACUGGGACACGGUCCAAACUCCUACGGGAGGCAGCAGUGAGGAAUAUUGGUCAAUGGGCGGGAGCCUGAACCAGCCAAGUAGCGUGCAGGAUGACGGCCCUAUGGGUUGUAAACUGCUUUUAUGCGGGGAUAAAGUGAGGGACGUGUCCUUCAUUGCAGGUACCGCAUGAAUAAGGACCGGCUAAUUCCGUG